rnacentral:lncRNA from 1 species
ACAUUGCCUGCACCCCCCCCCCCGAUAAUCCAGGAUAAUCUUCCCAUUUCAGGACCCCUACCCUAGUGACACCUGCAAAGCCUUUUUUGUCAUAUAGAGCAGCAUAUUCACAGGUCCUGGGAUUGGGACAUGGACGUUGUUGGGGGGCCAUUAUGCGUUUAACACAGGGAGCAAGAGUGGCAAGGAGGGGACUGGCCGGGAGGCCACUGUGGUCACCUAGGCGAGAGACAGUAGCCGGGACCAAGGUGGGAGCAGUGGAGGUGGGAGCAGUGGAGGUGGGAGCAGUGGAGGUGGAGAGCAGUGGAGGUGGGAGCAGUGGAGGUGGAGAGCAGUGGAGGUGGGAGCAGUGGAGGUGGAGAGCAGUGGAGGUGGGAGCAGUGGAGGUGGGAGCAGUGGAGGUGGAGAGCAGCGGGCGGGACAGAGAGGGAUUUACUGCUGUCCUGGCAGAGGAAAAAUGGGAGGGGGAGAAGUAUCCUGGCCCUUUCAGCUUUCGUCUGGAAGUGACACGUUCAUAUCGCUCCUACCCACACGUCACGUGACCACGAUAACUUGAAGGUGGGGGGAAAUGCAUCCAC